rnacentral:rRNA from 1 species
UGGGUAACCUGCCCUUAGCUCUGGGAUAAGCCUGGGAAACUGGGUCUAAUACCGGAUAUGACUCCUCAUCGCAUGGUGGGGGGUGGAAAGCUUUAUUGUGGUUUUGGAUGGACUCGCGGCCUAUCAGCUUGUUGGUGAGGUAAUGGCUCACCAAGGCGACGACGGGUAGCCGGCCUGAGAGGGUGACCGGCCACACUGGGACUGAGACACGGCCCAGACUCCUACGGGAGCAG